UGACGUGUGACUGUGUUGUCCUCCAAUCUUCCUGGUGUUCGAUGUACCCCCUAAUCUUACUCUGGAGGGAGCCUCUUUAAAUUUUUUGUCAACAAAAUGCUGUGAAAGUCAGCAGGGAAGUGCGAUGUAGAAGAAAUGACUGCCAGAAGCUUGCUAAGGAACCGCACAACCUGUGUGGGCAGCAGACAAAAUAUUCAUCAAACGAAGUUUUGCACCAAAGUUAUGAGAGCAGCACAGAUGUUUUUUUAGCGUAAUGGAGUGAUGGAAGUGCUGCGCCAAUCAUGGAGUGCUUAGCAGUCGCCUGCUCGACCAGCCACAGUGAGUCAUUGGAGGCAGUGCUGCAGCACCAACAAUCACUCGUUGGAAGAAAGGAAUGAGGUGGCCAUCAACACCCUGCUGCCAGUUCAACACUCCUCAGUCAAAACACAAGACGCCUGCUUGGCGGCAAAGUCAAUCCAAUUUUAGACAAGAGU